ACAUACAAUUAAAAGCGUGUAUCGAUAUGAUGUGUUGGAAAAAAUGCUCGAGUUAUAAGUAUGAUUGUUAAACAACAUUUUAACGAGGUUUUUUUUUCGUUAUUCGUAAAUUAAUCUGGCUCUGAGUCAGCUGUAAAGUUUUGUAAAUCUAAACCGAAUCAGAGAAGCGAGAUUAUAACCGUCAUCGUGUCAAGAUGUUACUGUACCUCAAGGACCUGAAGCGGCAUACUGAUAGUGAUACGGCCUGUACAAAAUAUGUAACGUACAACCGGAUGAGGAAAAUUUAAAUAUAUCACAUCGACGUAUCUUCAUCGAACUAAUUUUAUGUACACUGUUGCUGACUCUUGCACCAUUUAUGAUUUACAGUAAAAUGAGGAAAUGGUUAGAAUUUGACAUGACAUCGCUGUUACAAGUUACACGACGAGUGUUUUGA